AAACUCUGCUGGGGGUGGCUGCAUGCCAGCCAGACACCCAGUCUUGCAAGACUGUCAUUGAAAAUCUCCGUUUUGCUGUUCUCCGGGUCUCUGCGUCCAGUCUUUGUGUUUGGACGGGUGAGUUUGUUUCUCACAGGUGCGACUCUGUCUCUAUUUGCAUCAGGUUCAGUUUCUUCCUGGUUGACCUUGUGGGUGUGAAUGUUGUCACAGACCUGCCGGGCCAUCUUUCUGCAAGAAGAUAAAGGAAGACCAGGAGUGCCUGCCGAACUCCUAUGGAGGAAGUCUAGGAGAGGAAGGGGUAGGACCAAGGGCACUGCUGUGGGCUGAAGGACAGGGAGGAAGAUGGUGUCUGCAAACCAGGAAGCAGCCUUGCCAGACACAGGAUUGGCCACAACCUUGACCCCAGACUUCCAGCCUCCAGAACUGAAGGACUGAGUUCAUUUUCAGCGUGUCUGGCUUUUCCAUUUCUGUGGCCUGGGAAGGUGGGUGGCUACAUCAUCAUCCAUGGUCUCUGAAAUAUCCUGUGUUACCAAGGCCUGCUUGUUCCACCAA
rnacentral:lncRNA from 10 species